AAAAAGUUUUAUUUUUACUUAAAAGUUAAAUUUUAUUUAAUUUUACAUGUAAAUUUUUGUAUAAAUAUAAUAAAAUUUAAAUAAUUUUAAUAAUUUAUUCGCAGUAGAUAAAAUUAUUUAUUUAAUGAAAAUUAGAUUUAGGUAUAAUUUUAAUAUUAACAAAAUUUGUGCCAGCAGUUGCGGUUACACAAAUAAUAUAAUUUAAUUUGUUCAGUUUUAAUUAAUUUUUAAUUAUUGAAUUUUGAAUUUAAAAUUAUUAGGUGAAAUUUUAAUUUUUAAUAAAAUUAAUUUAUUAUUAUGAAGUUGGGAAAUUUGAAUAAUAAACUAGGAUUAGAUACCCUAUUAUUUUAAAUGUAAAUAAAUAUUACUAGAUUAAUAUUAGUUAAGUUCUUAAAAAUUAAAGAUUUUGGCGGUUUUUUAGUCUAUUCAGAGGAAUCUGUCCUAUAAUUGAUAAUCCACGAUUUAAAUUACUUUUUUUAAUAAUUUACAUAUCGUCGUAGUUUGAAUAUUUUAAAAGAAUUUUAAUAUUCAAAAUUAUUUUUAAUAAAUAAAUCAGAUCAAGGUGUAGUUUAUAAAAAAGAAGAGAUGGAUUACAAUAAAUUUAUUUAAGGUUUAAAUUUUGUAAAUAUUUAUUAAUUUGGAUUUGAUAGUAAUUUUAAUAAUUUAAUUAAAAUGAUUUAAGCUCUAAAAUAUGUACAUAUUGCCCGUCGCUUUCAUUUUAAAAUGAAAUAAGUCGUAACAAAGUAGGCUUACUGGAAAGUGAGCCUAGAAAGAU
rnacentral:ncRNA from 1 species